UCUGUUUCAGGAUCUUCCUAACUAUGCUCAACAUACAGUAUCCAUCUUUUCACUGCCCCAGGAAUGGUUAUGGUGCGAGUCUUGGUGUGGUAAUACCACAAAAUCAAAAGCAAAAACUAUUGACCUUUGCAACAAUCCUAUGACAAAGGAACCCAAGCUCCAGGGUGCUAGAAGAAUAGUUUCUGAAUGGUCGGAUCUGGAUAUGGAAGCCAGACAAUUCACUGCAAAAAUAUUAGGUGAAGAUACAGACCUGAAAGAUACAGCAGCAUCCCCUGCAAAACCAGAUGCUUUGCGCAGUGAAAGUUUGUCAGAAGAAGACCCAGAAUCCAAGGCAGAGUUGUGAAAAGAUACAUUAUGUUUAGAGGUAGAGUUUGAUUGCAGUUUUGGGAAUCUCGGUGCUCUUCUGUUCCCUACAAUUAGGGGGUGGUGAGUGCAGGUAAAAGCUGGGUUUUGAAGAUUUUGAUUAGUUGCUAAUGGUUAGAUACGAGAUGUCGAUCUUUGUCAUUGUUUCAAAACGAGUACGUGGAGCAAUGGAGAUGGACUUGAAAGAGACUAACUGGGUUAUCCAUAUGUAUUGUGUAUGGGAGAUUAAUUAUUAUGGUUUAAGUUCAAACUAGGUAAGUCUCUUUCUUAUGAUACAAUAUAAACCUGACACUGAAGGACUGGCAAGAAUUUGCCAAUAAAAGCUUUAAUACCAACGAUGGAGUUUAUUCCUUAAGCUUUAAUACCAACAAUGGAGUUUAUUC